AGGGGUAUAGCUUAGUAAUAGAGCAUGUGCUUAGCAUGCACAAGGUCCUGGAUUCAAUUGCCAGUGCCUCCA
rnacentral:tRNA from 1 species